CGCACGCAUACCCUGCACCGCUACAGGCACCGGCCCAUCAACGUUGCAACGCGUCUGUCGUGGAAGUGUGUCCAACACUGGCGUGAAAACUUGGAAGACGAAAGGAAACUGAACAUCAACUCAGUGGUAAAAUGAGGAAGAAUCAGAAAUGUGCUCAAGUGUAGAGUAUCUUGUCUUGAAAACACCAGAAUGUGAUCAAGUAUGCUCUCUCGAAGCGGCGACAUAGCGUGAAACAAGCCCUACUUUUGGCUACACAUCGACGUGACUUAGCAGAAGAGAGGAAAACAAGACGGCAAUGUUAGAAGACACAUUAAAAUUAUUUACUAAUAAAAGUAAAACUUAC